GACGAACGCUGGCGGCGUGCUUAACACAUGCAAGUCGAACGGAAAGGCCCUGCUUUUGUGGGGUGCUCGAGUGGCGAACGGGUGAGUAACACGUGAGUAACCUGCCCUUGACUUUGGGAUAACUUCAGGAAACUGGGGCUAAUACCGGAUAGGAGCUCCUGCUGCAUGGUGGGGGUUGGAAAGUUUCGGCGGUUGGGGAUGGACUCGCGGCUUAUCAGCUUGUUGGUGGGGUAGUGGCUUACCAAGGCUUUGACGGGUAGCCGGCCUGGGAGGGUGACCGGCCACAUUGGGACUGAGAUACGGCCCAGACUCCUACGGGAGGCAGCGGUGGGGAAUAUUGCACAAUGGGCUGAAGCCUGAUGCAGCAACGCCGCGUGCGGGAUGACGGCCUUCGGGUUGUAAACCGCUUUCGCCUGUGACGAAGCGUGAGUGACGGUAAUGGGUAAAGAAGCACCGGCUAACUACGUG
rnacentral:rRNA from 1 species